GAUGAACGCUAGCGACAGGCCUAACACAUGCAAGUCGAGGGGCAGCAUAAAGGUAGCAAUACUUUGGUGGCGACCGGCGCACGGGUGAGUAACACGUAUGCAACCUACCUGGCAGAGGGGAAUAACCCGGAGAAAUUCGGACUAACACCGCAUAAUACCUCGAAGCUGCAUGGCUUUGAGGUUAAAUAUUUAUAGCUUACAGCUGGGCAUGCGUAACAUUAGAUAGUUGGUGAGGUAACGGCUCACCAAGUCAACGAUGUUUAGGGGUUCUGAGAGGAAGGCCCCCCACACUGGUACUGAGACACGGACCAGACUCCUACGGGAGGCAGCAGUGAGGAAUAUUGGUCAAUGGGCGAGAGCCUGAACCAGCCAAGUCGCGUGAAGGAAGAAGGUUCUAUGGAUUGUAAACUUCUUUUGUAAGGGAACAAAAAAGCUUACGUGUAGGCUAUUGUAUGUACUUUACGAAUAAGGAUCGGCUAACUCCGUGCCAGCCGCCGCCGUAACAC
rnacentral:rRNA from 1 species